GUACGUAUGGUGUAGUGGCGUAGAGCAUUCCUGUUCGGUAAGCAGGUGGUGUGGGUUCGAGUCCCGCUAGGAGCA
rnacentral:tRNA from 1 species